GGAGGGGUGCAAGCGUUAUUCGGAAUCACUGGGCGUAAAGAGCGCGGUAGGCGGGUUUCUAAAGUCAGAUGUGAAAGCCCGGGGCUCAACCCCGGAAGUGCAUUUGAAACUUAGGGACUUGAGUAUGGGAGAGGGAAGUGGAAUUCCUGGUGUAGCGGUGAAAUGCGUAGAUAUCAGGAGGAACACCGGUGGCGAAGGCGACUUCCUGGACCAAUACUGACGCUGAGGCGCGAAGGCGUGGGGAGCAAACAGGAUUAGAUACCCUGGUAGUCCACGCAGUAAACGUUGAACACUAGGUGUAGCGGGUAUUGACCCCUGCUGUGCCGCAGCUAACGCAUUAAGUGUUCCGCCUGGGGAGUACGGCCGCAAAGGCUA
rnacentral:rRNA from 1 species